GGGCCUGUAGCUCAGGUGGUUAGAGUGCACGCCUGAUAAGCGUGAGGUCGGAAGUUCAACUCUUCCCAGGCCCACCA
rnacentral:tRNA from 1 species